rnacentral:rRNA from 1 species
GACGAACGCUGGCGGCGUGCUUAACACAUGCAAGUCGAACGGAAAGGCCCUGCUUUUGUGGGGUGCUCGAGUGGCGAACGGGUGAGUAACACGUGAGUAACCUGCCCUUGACUUUGGGAUAACUUCAGGAAACUGGGGCUAAUACCGGAUAGGAGCUCCUGCUGCAUGGUGGGGGUUGGAAAGUUUCGGCGGUUGGGGAUGGACUCGCGGCUUAUCAGCUUGUUGGUGGGGUAGUGGCUUACCAAGGCUUUGACGGGUAGCCGGCCUGAGAGGGUGACCGGCCACAUUGGGACUGAGAUACGGCACAGACUCCUACGGGAGGCAGCAGUGAGGAAUAUUGCACAAUGGGCGGAAGCCUGAUGCAGCAACGCCGCGUGCGGGAUGACGGCCUUCGGGUUGUAAACCGCUUUCGCCUGUGACGAAGCGUGAGUGACGGUAAUGGGUAAAGAAGCACCGGCUAACUACGUG